rnacentral:lncRNA from 1 species
AGGAAGAUUUGUUACAAAGUGAGAGAAUAUUGCAGGAACUCCUGUUGCCAACUCUGAGUAUAUGAGACCUAUCCCAGGCACCCGGACUAUACCAAGGCUCGGGCCAAGACCAAGUAGCCAUUUUAACGAGACUUUGUUGUGAAGAUCAUAGUUAUACUUCUUCCGUGUACCAUAAUGCCAGACAUACAUAACAAUCAUAAAGAUGAACGAGAGAACAAAAGGGACCCAUCCUCCCUGAGGUACUUUAAUGAGUGCUGCUGAUAAGUACACUCCCUCAAUGAACCAGAAAAAAAUCAGAAAAAUCGCAGCCAGAACCACACUUUUCUGCCAAACAAAGAUUAUUACCAGUGCCAUAAGGAAUGUCGUGAUAAACAUAACCAUCAUGCAAGCAAGUCC